rnacentral:lncRNA from 1 species
AUAGGAGUGCAAAAUAGGAGGAUUUGCAUGACAAACCUCCCAUUUUACAUACAGUGGCCAGCCAUCAUGUUGUUGUAGACAAAAUGUACACUUGAUAUCCAUAAUUUAUGGUACAAAUUGAUACAAAUUGAUAAUAGGUUAGGUAAAUGUUCCAUGAUAAUAGGUUAGGUAAAUGUUCCAUGAUAAUAGGUUAGGUAAAUGUUCCAUGAUAAUGGGUUAGGUAAAUGUUUCAUGAUAAUGGGUUAGGUAAAUGUUUCAUGAUAAGAAUUUCAUGUCUUUUGUAUUAAAGAAUUAAAUGGAUGAAAUAGGAAGUUUUAUUAAAAGAAAAAGGGGUGAAAGGAACAAAGUUUUGUCCAUCUUUGUUCAUCAUAGCUGAAAGUUAGAGAAGAGAAAGGAUAGGAGAAAGCUCUUGAGUAUUCGGUCAUUAGGAGGAGGAAAAUUGAAGGUAAGUUCUUGGUACCUUGCUUCUAUUUUGAGGUUCAUGAGUUCUUCUUGAUUCUACCUUAACUCUUGAAGUAUAUUUUGAUUUUUAGUUGUGUUGUGAGCAUUUAGUCAUGAAUUAAAAUGAAGGAAAUGGUUGUUGUUUCAUGUUCUUUUGAUGAAAAAUGGAAGAUAGGUGAAGUUGAGCCAAACAAAUGAGCAUGCAUGUGCCUUAGAUGUUAAAGGGAAAAAUCAGCUAACAUGUUGUGCUUUAAAAUGAUGAAAUGGAGAUUAUACUUAAGUAAAAUCAUAGAUAUGUGAUGAUUGAUUGGUGAUAUACAUGUUUAAAUAACAUGCAUGCAAGGUAUGUGUGAAAGAGUGAUUUGGUAAUAAAUCUGCUUGGGACAGCAGCAGUAACGUGACUUUGGAAAAUCACCAUAAAUUGUGGGAGAAGAAUUAGAAGCUGAAUAAAUUAUGUAAUUAAAGAUUAUUGAGACUAGUUUCUAAUGAAAUAAACAAGAACAUAUUUUGAAUUCUGUACAAUGAGAAAUUUGAUUCGUAAUGAAGGGUGGUCAGAUUAGUCAAACAGAGAAACAUGGGAAACUUUGAGAAAAUUCUGGUAUUGAUUGGCUAAACCAAAAAUUCUGAAAAUUUUAUGGAUAGAAGAUAUAUGAGUCUAUUUUCAGGGAAAAUUAACGGAACUUGAUUUGGAGUUUCGUAGCUCUAGGUAUAAAUAAUUUAGUGACUGUUGCUCAGGAAGACAGCUUGCAGUGGAAUUAUGAUUAUGUGGUAAACAUUGACAAAAAUUUGUUAAUGAGUUGCUUAUUGAUUUCUUAUAAGCUUACUAUGAUCUGUAGGUGUGGUUGGCCGAAUAUUGUAAGGGGUUAAUACGUAGUUUGUAUUUGAAUAGUUAGAUUAACGUGUUAGUAAUCCAAUUAUAGGCGGUUCGUGUGUGGAUCUCGUCAGCAUAUCGUCGCAAAUAGGUGUGUAACUGACACCCUCUCAUAGACUAGAUUGGCAAAAGCCGAAAUGCCGAAAUGCCGAAAAGCCGGUAUUUUAGGAAUUUGCGAGUGUGCGAAUGCUCGUAAGAUAGUUGGGUUUGUAUAUUUGGUAAUCUAAAGUAAUAAACUGCAGUACGCGCGAUUUCGUACAUUUUGAUAAUUUGGGCUUAAUGGGCCAAAGAUCGGGUUCAUGGGCCAACGGGCCCAAUUCAGUAAGUAUGUGCGGUAAGUGUUCUGAUAGUACGUAAAUAGUUAGGAUAUGCAUGAAAACCCUAAAAGUAGCUAAAUUACUAUAAUACCCCUAUGUAUGGAAAAUUACUGUUAUACCCCUAGGUGCAAAAUUACCGUUAUACCCCUAGGGUUAAUUUUGACUGAAAAGCAUGACGAUCUGAUUCUGUAUGAUGUAUGCCAUGAUUAUAUAUCUGUUGCAUGGGGACAUGGGUUAUAUUAUGGAGGAAGCGUUCUGGUGGCUAUGCCACAAAUAUCUGACUUGGUGGCUCUACCACAAAUAUCUGAUCUGGUGGCUCUGCCACAUAUAUCUGUUCUGGUGGCUCUGCCACGAUUAUCUGUAUCUGGUGACUCUGUCACAUUAUCUGUUCUGGCAGCCAUGCUGCAAAUUCUGUGGUGUGUAGCGGUUGGGUGGGUCGAGUUGUCUCCCCACACGGUGUAAGGUUGGUAUGGGGGUGUAUACGGUUGGAUAUGGUUGGGUUUAUGCAUAAACAUGUAAUAUCUGUUCUGUUCUGCUAUGGGCCUAUGGGCUUUAUGCUGAAUUCUGUUCUGGGCUAAGGCCAACUUAUUCUAUUUCUGUGGUUUGAGCUGAUAUAGGCUAUGGUUGGGUUAAUUUACACACUGAGUUUUCCCCAAACUCACCCUUUUUAUUUUCAUCCACGCAGGUAAUCCCCAACCAUAGUGGGCUUGGAGCUGUGAGGGAAUUCGGAGUGGCCACCCAUUCUGAAAGUUUGAUUUUCUUCUGGUGAACUGAACAUCCUUUUAUUUACGUUUGAUGUUUUGGGUUUUUAAAUGUAAUAAGGCCGCUUAAUUAUUUUUGAUGGUUUUAAUAUGUAUUACUAAGAUAGGUAUUACUUAUUUUAACUGUUGAAAUUGGAUAGCUUUAGGGCGCGUUUUCAAAAACAACAAUUGAUUUCAAAAUAACACGACAACAAGCAAAGCUUCCGCAAUGAAAGUAUUUUCCAAAAUUAAUCACUUUUCCUAAAAAUGACUUAAUCAAAUCGGUUUCCUAGAAAUAUCCAUGACGUUAAGGUGUGGCAAUGGCGUUAUGCAUGUUUAGGAUUGGAUCCGAAGGGAGCUUGGUACUUAAGCAGUCCGAUGGACUCACCACCUCUUUUCCGGUUUCCUACCUGGUGCAGAGCUUCCAUUCACCUUAACCCUUAAUGAAUUAAUCUUUUGAACAUCAAGUACGAUUUUCUGGACUUAGAAUGGAAUUUUUUUAAACGUUUUUGAUGUGGCAUGCCGGAUCCGGCCAUAACUUUUGGGCCGGGUUUGGGGUGCUACAUUGAUUGAUUUGGAUUGUUAAUGUAUACCAAUGUGGUUGAGGGAAGCAAUGAAAAGCCGACAAGUGACAUGCCAAGUAGAGCUGUCCAUGGAUUGAGCUCGACCCAAUUCGAAAAAUUGGCCUAAAUUUUUGUCCAAACCUGAUUCAGAUUAUAAAUGUUAAACUUGGGCCUAAAACAAUCCAUAUUUUUUAAUUAGUGAUCAUUGCCUAACUCGACCCCAAUAAAAUUUUAGGCCCGAUUGAUAGGCCCAGCUCAAAAAAUGAACUUAAAUUUUUGCCCAAACCCGACCCAAAUUAUAAAAGUUAAAUCCAAGCUUGGACCCACUUAGCCAUAUAUUUUAGUUGGUGACUGUUUCUUCUUUUUAAUCAACAAUUUUUUUCAAAUAUCUUAAUUUCAUUUCAUUAAAAAAUCAUAAAAAAAUAUAUGAGUAAACCUAUAAUUCUAUGACAUAAGAAGAACAUUUAUUAAACCUCCCCAUUGAUAAAUGGAAGCAAAGAAGAUACAUGAGCAUGAAGUUUAAUUCUUUGCAAAACAAAUAUAUGUACUACAUGAGCAUGAAAUAAAUAGGUUUAAGAGUGUAGGAAGUUUCCAAUUUUUUUUCAAAAAAUAAUCAAGUCAAUUUUUUUUAUACUUAAUCAAUUAGGUACUUAAACUUUUAAAAUGUAUCAAAAAACUCUUUAACUGUUAAUUUUAACAGUUGACCGUUAAAGUUAACCGCCCCUAAUAUUUUUCAAUUAAAGCCAACCACAGCGUGACACGUGAAAAAAAUGAUAAAAAAUAAAAAUCAAUAAAAAUUAUUAAAUUUUAAUAAAAAUAUAAAAAAUAUUAAAAUUUUAUUUAAAAACUUUAAAAAUUAUAAUUUUUAUAACUUUUAUUGGUUUUUAUUUUUUAUAAUUUUUUGCCUCAUGUUACGCUGUGAUUGUGACAUACAAUGACUUUAACAGGAAAAAAUUACUUUAAUGGUUAACUAUUAAAGUUAGCAGUCAAAUGGCCUUUUUUGAUGCAUUUUAACAGUUCAAGCACUCAACUGAGUGCAAAAAAAAAAAACUUAAUUGCUUUUUUGAAAAAAUUUGAGGGUAUUUUUUAUGUAAUUUAAAAGUUUUAAGUACCCAAUUAAGUGAAAAAACACAAGAACUUAAUUUUUUUUUAAAAGUUUGAGAAUUUUUUACACCCUUGAGUCAAAAAAAUAUCAUUGCAGUUUUGCAUUCUUUUUUCUCAAAUUGUAAUGUUAUUCAUAUACAUUACUGCAAAAGAAAUGGGGGGGGGGGGGAGGGGACAAAAGAAGUGUUAUGCAGUGUAAACAUAUCAACCCUAAUGCAAUCUAAUCUAAAAAAAAAAACAAUUAUCGAGCAAGCUAGUGUUGUUGUUAAUAGGAGAUCAAGGAAUCGAGCAACUAGUGGUGAAAUUUGAUUCUGAAAUCUAAAUCUGUUAAACUUAAAUUUUCUAUGCCUUUUUUAGUUUUUCUAUUAAAGAGUGAGCUACAAAAAUAGAGUGUCUAACUACCUAUGGAACGAUGAUAGUGGUGGCUGAUGGAGAAAUUGGCAAGACGACGAGGACAGUGAUGAACACCAGUGACUGAAGAAGCAGCGAGGCGACGACAGUGUCUUGAAUCUUGAUGGAAGAAUGAGUGACUAACGAUAGAGGAAGCAGGGGGACGAUGACAGUGUCUUGAAUCUUGAUGGAAGAACAAGCAACUGACGAGUACGAUUGGUGAGUGGAGGUGGUGAGCAGCGCUAGAUAAUGGCAGUGGUGACUGCGGAGUGGUGAGUAGUAACCGACACUUAGGAAUUUUGUUUGUAGGAAUUGAUUUGGGAUUGGGAAUAAAGGGAUAGGAGGGUGAUUGCCUAACUGGGUGAGGCCGUGAG